UUAUAAUGCACUAAACUUUAUAUAAUUCACAAAAUGAAACUAUUCAUAAACAUUUACAAUCUAAAUUAAUUGUCCUUGUCCAACAAGCUAGUAAUAUCCAUAAAAGCAAAAUAGUUUAAUCCAAGUGCAUAAGUUUUACAAUUUAAGAGUUAGCAUAAGUUUCAAAAUGUUUGAUCACAAAAGAUUCCUAGAACAUCUAAAUUUUCAGCAAUAAAUCAGAAACUCUUCUUAAGGAAGGUCAAGAUCUUCAUCGCUUUCGUCUUCUUUUUCAUCAUUUUCUCCACCUACAAAACAACAACAACCCAGUAUAAUCCCACUAGUGGAGUUUGGGGAGGGUAGUGUGUACGCAGACUUUACCCCUACCCUAGGAUAGAGAGGCUGUUUCCGAUAGACCCUCGGCUCCCUCCCUCCAAGAAUUCCCCACAACCUCUUGGUUGGAAGUGGAGGGUGCUCACCACUAGAGCAACCCACUCUUGUCUCCACCUACAAAAGAGGAUAAAUAAAGUCAUUAUUACCUUCAAGCGCUAGUUGAUAAUUUAAGCAAAAAUGAGGAAACUUAAGUACUAAUGAAGCUUAAAGGGCAUCCAGACAAGAGUCUCAAUAAUGCUCAUACAAAUCAUAAUGGAAGAAGUUUUUCAUGCCAGCAGAAAACAAGCAAAUAGCAAAGAAUUGAGUCAUUAAAUCCUCCCUCAAUGUGCUCAACUAGUUCGAUGGAGUUCACAUCUGUUAACACAACAGAAACUCCUAAGCUGAGGUGGAAGUCUAAUAUUAACAGCAAAUUAACGCAUACAAUUUCCAAAUUAACGCAUACAGUUUCCAACAAGUCCAAUUGUUGUAAGUAAUAGUGACUAACACAAGUCUAUGGCUAUACUAAAUAGUCUAGAAUGUUUGCAGGCAAUGCAAUGUCACACAUCCAUAAAGACAAUUAUGUUAGCAACACAUCUUUUUAACUUCAUUAGUAAUCUGGGAGUAUUUGAGAUAUGUAGGCUACAAACCAUAUCCAUUGUUGAAUAUCACAAUCUAUGUCAUCCAAUUAUAUUAGAAAUAAUAAGAAAAUAAAUUUUAUAAACAGGAUGGCCACGCAUGAUUUUCUUCGGGCAAAAAAGAAGAUAAAUUUCUAAGUCAAUCAACUAUAUGAUUUAAUAUGAUGGAAAAAGUGAGAAAUAUUUCUCAGUACCAAAAAGAAGGUUAUUUCAUGCAACAGAAAGACACUUGAUACGGAUAUUUCACACAAAGGGACAACAAGUAUACUUGGGUAAAUCACAAGUAAAUAUUAUUUCACAAAACAAGAAAUAAUGUUGUCGACAAUAUGCCAUGAUUUUCCGGCAAAUCGAAGGAAGAAUAGAGAAUUGACCGCAGAAAUAAGUUACUUAUGAAUGCCUAUUUACUUUCUCUUUAGACAAACAAAGAGAAAUUGCAAAAUAAACUAUACGUUCUAAUAUCCAGGUUGGUAGUCAUGUCAUGAAUGAUAUUUGAAUUGAAUGAGGUACUUUGAUAUUCUUUAUAAAAAUAUAAAGCAAGUCAUCAAGCAAAAUCAUACAAGAAAAGGACCUUAAAAGAAAUCCUUCAGACUAUUCUAAAAGCUUUUCAGAUGAUCUAAAUACUGAAGUGCACACAUUAUACAAGGGAAAAAAACAGAAUAAUAAAGUUUCACCUUCACUCUUUUAUCAGCAUGAGUUUAUUGAAACAUGUAUGCAUAAUGGGUAUAGAAAAUCCAAAGAAUAUUCAAACCAUAUUCUGUCCAUUAACCAGAAGAGCCAGAACCUGUUCAAUAAAUAACCCCUUCUUGCAAUGUUUAUUCCAUUUAUCAAUAUCUCCCUGCCAACUUUAGUCUAUUUUAAUCAUUAAGGCCUUUGCCUUACCAACAUCCAAUUGUAAAGGUAAGCACUCUUACAGCAAUUUGUUUCACACAGAUUCUCAAACAAUAAUUUAAUUAAAAAUGGAGUACUCAACAGCUGUUUAAACGUACUUGAUUUCCACUAUAAGAAUCUAAAAGAUUUUCUUUAAUAUUCAAAUUAUAAAGUACUUGAAGAUCAUGUUAUAGCAAUGUUGGACAAGAAAGAGCACGCUAAAAUUGAACAAAAAAAAGAGCAAAAAACAGGAAAAAAGCAAGACAUUGAAGUUUAUUUUUUGUUGGAAUUAAAGUGACUAUUCAUCCUUCUUGGCACCAUAGUUAGAAGAUUAAAUAGAGAAUUGACUCAAAAUAUUCCUAAGUUCCUAACCUUGAAUCAGUUUAAUCUCUCACAAAUAAUACAUAAUCAGAACACAUACGAAACUAGUAUUGUAUACAUAUAUGGAAACUGCAUCCACUAUUUCCCCUCAGAAUAAAAGAAAGAUCACAACAACAAAGUGAUUUUAAAUUGUUUGUUUUGAAAAAAGUGAUCAAACUCGACUAAAAAAGAAGAAGAAAAGAAAAAGGUGAUUGAUCUGACCAUGUAUGAUAUAUUUAGAAUAAAAAUUUAACUAUAUACUAUCAUAAAAGAAAAAAGAGUUACAACAAAGAUUAAUCUUUCAAUAAGAGUAAAGAUUAUGUCCUUUAUAAAAGUAAAAGAAUGUUAAUUUUUGUAAAUAGGGGUUAUCAUACAUGGAAGUACAAUGAAAGUCCACAUAAAAGUUCACCAACAAAAGUUUAAUUAGAAAGAUAACAAUUACCAAGAGUACAGUAGAUUGAAGUUAUGGUUAACAUGGACAGCUGAUGGAAGAUUGACAGAAGAGCUUCCGAUCAUAAACUGGAUAGCCGAUCUCUCAGGUUGAAGUUUCAAAUUCCGGGGAACAAAGUCGGGUUCUGUAGAGUUUUGAUGGACCUCCUCAAACUCAAUUCCAUUCGACCUUAAAAUAUUAAACUUUAAAAUGUGAUCUUAAUGGUAAUCAAGCAAUUAAGCCAGAAAUCGAGCAAUUCCACAAACAUCAUUUAAACUACCGGUGCAAACCCUACUGAUUGUCAAUUCAAUCAGACUGUAUCACUCAAAUACCCCCAUAUAUAAAAAUAAAAAUAAAAAUAAACAAAGAACCGGGUAACAAGGAACAUUAAAACUGAAAUCUUCAUUCAAACACACAACCAACGAAUGUGGUUAUCCCAAAUUUAUUAAAAAAAUAAUAAAAAUUUACAGUGGUUUCUCCCACAGCUGCAAGCGACAAUUUUCAGCGAGGAAUGGGAUCGAAGAGAUGGAAGAAACUUUGGUUGAGUGUCUUUUUUUUGCUAUUUCUUGGAGUCAAACUCUCGUCUUCCUCUUCCUUCUUUCAAGUCCUAUUUCUAAUCAAAACCCUAAUCGAACAAUCACAGAAAUCUUAAUCGCUUAUCUUUUGCAAAUUUCAAUCAAUUAACACUAUGGCAACCAGCGAAAACAAGAAUAUGAACGCCAAAUUGGUUCUCACCUUUGAUUUAUCAAUUUUGGUUAUGGGUUGAGGUUUAAUUCCAUAAGGCCUCCUCUUUUUGCCUUAUAUAUAUGGUCUGGGUCUUCUUUUCGGGUUUAUAUUUGCUGUGGCCCGUGAGAAUCUGUUCUAAUCUAU
rnacentral:lncRNA from 1 species